CCUACGGGUGGCAGCAGUGGGGAAUAUUGGACAAUGGGGGCAACCCUGAUCCAGCCAUGCCGCGUGUGUGAAGAAGGCCCUCGGGUUGUAAAGCACUUUCAGUGAGGAAGAACGCCUGGUGGUUAAUACCCAUCAGGAAAGACAUCACUCACAGAAGAAGCACCGGCUAACUCCGUGCCAGCAGCCGCGGUAAUACGGAGGGUGCGAGCGUUAAUCGGAAUUACUGGGCGUAAAGCGCGCGUAGGUGGCUUGAUAAGCCGGUUGUGAAAGCCCCGGGCUCAACCUGGGAGCGGCAUCCGGAACUGUCAAGCUAGAGUGCAGGAGAGGAAGGUAGAAUUCCCGGUGUAGCGGUGAAAUGCGUAGAGAUCGGGAGGAAUACCAGUGGCGAAGGCGGCCUUCUGGACUGACACUGACACUGAGGUGCGAAAGCGUGGGUAGCAAACAGGAUUAGAUACCCCUGUAGUC
rnacentral:rRNA from 1 species